UACAGGGGGGGCAAGCGUUGUUCGGAAUUACUGGGCGUAAAGGGCUCGUAGGCGGCCAACUAAGUCCGACGUGAAAUCACAAAGCUUAACUUUGGAACUGCGUCGGAUACUGGAUGGCUUGAAUUCGGGAGAGGGAUGCAGAAUUCCAGGUGUAGCGGUGAAAUGCGUAGAUAUCUGGAGGAAUACCGGUGGCGAAGGCGGCAUCCUGGACCGACAUUGACGCUGAGGAGCGAAAGCUAGGGGAGCAAACGGG
rnacentral:rRNA from 1 species